rnacentral:rRNA from 1 species
CCUACGGGGGGCUGCAGUGGGGAAUUUUGGACAAUGGGCGCAAGCCUGAUCCAGCCAUACCGCGUGCGGGAAGAAGGCCUUCGGGUUGUAAACCGCUUUUGUCAGGGAAGAAACGCUCCGGGUUAAUACCUCGGAGUAAUGACGGUACCUGAAGAAUAAGCACCGGCUAACUACGUGCCAGCAGCCGCGGUAAUACGUCGGGUGCAAGCGGUGAUCGGAAUUACUGGGCGUAAAUGGUAGGCAGGUGGGAAAUCCCCGGGCUUAACCUGGGAACUGCAUUUGUGACUGCAUUGCUGGAGUGCGUCAGAGGGGGAUGGAAUUCCGCGUGUAGCAGUGAAAUGCGUAGAUAUGCGGAGGAACACCAAUGGCGAAGGCAAUCCCCUGGGCCUGCACUGACGCUCAUGCACGAAAGCGUGGGGAGCAAACAGGAUUAGAUACCCGAGUAGUC